AAAGAGGAAGGGAGCCGACUGGCCCCAAGGUUUCUCUUUCCCUGAGAAACCUCAGGAGGGACCCCCAAGACAAAAUCAAGUGGAGUGUGUUUUAUGAACCAGCCAGAAAGCAAAGAGAAGGUAGGAGGGGAGCAGAGACACUGCUCCAGGAAGUGGGUGGUCUGCCUAUACCAGUGGAUCCCCCUGGCCUCCCCUGUGCUGAGCCCCACUGACAGCUACUUCUUUUUUCUUUCUUUUUUUUUUUUUGUGGCCGCUGCUACAGCAUGUGGGAUCUUAGUUCCCUGACCAGGGAACAAACUCGCGCCUCCUGCAGUGGAAGCUCGGAGUCAACCACUGGACGGCCAGGGAAGUCUCUGGCAGCUACUUCUUAGGUGUUGGCUUUCUGCAAUAUUGUUUGCUUUCUGUGGGGUCUUGGUCCAUGCCUAAAACAGAGGUUACUGUACCAUUUAGGGCCCUAAAAUGAUUUAAUUAAGUCCUUGGAGUCCUUGUUACAUGUGGACUCCUUCUGUGAUGUUGGUAACUUUUAAUUUUGAAUUGCAUUAUUAAAAUCAACUCAUUUUAGAACAUUUGUGGCGGGGGCGGGGGUGGGGUCCUGGUAGCUUGUUUCCACACCUGCCAUUACGGCACCCAGUGGUUAAUGACACUGUCCUAAUCUUAUUAAAAGCGAAAAAGAAAUAUAUUUACAUCUAAAUUUUAAAUAUCGAUUAAUUUUCAAAAACACUGACAUGAAGAAUGCAAAUUCAAAUGGUCCAAGCUGAGUGAGGAGUAAUUUCAGUCUUGUUAGCUUUUGACAGUGACCCUGGAUGAAUUUGAGAAGCAGGUGGUUUCAGGCUCUGGGCUCCUAGAAUCCGCUGACGCUCAGGAACUCUGUCAAUUACCAAGAAAAGUAUCUCCGGAUCAGUCCAGACUGGGGUUCGGAUGUGACUGGCAAACUGCUCCUGGAGAGACAAAUUCUCGUGCAACCAGGCUCCCUGAAAGAAUUUUUGCAUGGCUUAAGAAGCUGCUGUCAGGGAGCCUUGAGACUUCCUAUGAGGCUGUCCUAGAGGGGACCCAGAUAGACACAGCCCAUGUGACCUGCAGGGCAGAGAACAGAGCAAGGUCAGCGGCCCCUCCCACCCCAUCCAGACCUCAAGCACUCCCUGUCACAUCUACCCUCACUGUUGUCUAAUGGUUUUCUCUAUACUAGGUUCUAUUUUUGUUCUCACUAUAAAAAUAAUAGAUGCUCCUUGUAGAAAAACAAACAGGAGAGAUACAUAUUGCUCCCGGUUCGAACACCCUGAGACAGCUCCGGGGGUCUUGUGAAGUGUCACCCUGUCUUGUAUCCAAAGUAGCACACAGGGUCCACUGCUGAUUCAUCUAACUCCACUUCCCUGGCAUUGAGGCAAAUCUUUACCAUUUGUGUUUUUUAUAAAUGUAUUUAGUUUAUUUUUUUUUGGCUGCA